rnacentral:tRNA from 1 species
GCAGUCGUGGCCGAGUGGUUAAGGCGAUGGACUUGAAAUCCAUUGGGGUCUCCCCGCACAGGCUCGAAUCCUGUUGACUGCG